GUGACACAGACACGUCACUACUUACACACCUGUGUUAACAUGAGUUAUUGUGGAGCUGUUCUCUCUGCUGACUUAAAGGUCAUGGAACAUUUCAUCCUGUAACUGGUGCCAAAUGUCAAUGACAAACCAGUACCAGGCUGCAGGUAGCCUAGUGGUUAGAGACAGGUAGUCUAGUGGUUAGAGACAGGUAGCCUAGUGGUUAGAGACAGGUAGUCUAGUGGUUAGAGACGGGUAGCCUAGUGGUUAGAGACAGGUAGCCUAGUGGUUAGAGACGGGUAGCCUAGUGGUUAGAGACGGGUAGCCUAGUGGUUAGAGACGGGUAGCCUAGUGGUUAGAGACGGGUAGCCUAGUGGUUAGAGACGGGUAGCCUAGUGGUUAGAGACGGGUAGCCUAGUGGUUAGAGGCGGGUAGCCUAGUGGUUAGAGACGGGUAGCCUAGUGGUUAGAGACGGGUAGCCUAGUGGUUAGAGGCGGGUAGCCUAGUGGUUAGAGGCGG